rnacentral:tRNA from 1 species
GGGAUAUAACUCAGCGGUAGAGUGUCACCUUGACGUGGUGGAAGUCGUCAGUUCGAGUCUGAUUAUCCCUA